rnacentral:rRNA from 1 species
UACGAAGGGGGCUAGCGUUGUUCGGAAUCACUGGGCGUAAAGCGCGCGUAGGCGGACCUGCAAGUCGGGGGUGAAAGCCCGAGGCUCAACCUCGGAACUGCCUUCGAUACUGCGGGUCUCGAGUCCGGGAGAGGUGAGUGGAAUUCCUAGUGUAGAGGUGAAAUUCGUAGAUAUUAGGAAGAACACCAGUUGGACGAAGGCGGCUGCACUGGCCCGGUA